rnacentral:rRNA from 1 species
CCGAGUUGAGAGACUGAUCGGCCACAUUGGGACUGAGACACGGCCCAAACUCCUACGGGAGGCUGCAGUAGGGAAUCUUCCACAAUGGGCGAAAGCCUGAUGGAGCAACGCCGCGUGUGUGAUGAAGGCUUUCGGGUCGUAAAGCACUGUUGUAUGGGAAGAACAGCUAGAAUAGGGAAUGAUUUUAGUUUGACGGUACCAUACCAGAAAGGGACGGCUAAAUACGUGCCAGCAGCCGCGGUAAUACGUAUGUCCCGAGCGUUAUCCGGAUUUAUUGGGCGUAAAGCGAGCGCAGACGGUUGAUUAAGUCUGAUGUGAAAGCCCGGAGCUCAACUCCGGAAUGGCAUUGGAAACUGGUUAACUUGAGUGCAGUAGAGGUAAGUGGAACUCCAUGUGUAGCGGUGGAAUGCGUAGAUAUAUGGAAGAACACCAGUGGCGAAGGCGGCUUACUGGACUGUAACUGACGUUGAGGCUCGAAAGUGUGGGUAGCAAACAGGAUUAGAUACCCUGGUAGUCCACACCGUAAACGAUGAACACUAGGUGUUAGGAGGUUUCCGCCUCUUAGUGCCGAAGCUAACGCAUUAAGUGUUCCGCCUGGGGAGUACGACCGCAAGGUUGAAACUCAAAGGAAUUGACGGGGACCCGCACAAGCGGUGGAGCAUGUGGUUUAAUUCGAAGCAACGCGAAGAACCUUACCAGGUCUUGACAUCCUUUGAAGCUUUUAGAGAUAGAAGUGUUCUCUUCGGAGACAAAGUGACAGGUGGUGCAUGGUCGUCGUCAGCUCGUGUCGUGAGAUGUUGGGUUAAGUCCCGCAACGAGCGCAACCCUUAUUGUUAGUUGCCAGCAUUCAGAUGGGCACUCUAGCGAGACUGCCGGUGACAAACCGGAGGAAGGCGGGGACGACGUCAGAUCAUCAUGCCCCUUAUGACCUGGGCUACACACGUGCUACAAUGGCGUAUACAACGAGUUGCCAACCCGCGAGGGUGAGCUAAUCUCUUAAAGUACGUCUCAGUUCGGAUUGUAGUCUGCAACUCGACUACAUGAAGUCGGAAUCGCUAGUAAUCGCGGAUCAGCACGCCGCGGUGAAUACGUUCCCGGGUCUUGUACACACCGCCCGUCACACCAUGGGAGUUUGUAAUGCCCAAAGCCGGUGGCCUAACCUUUAGGAAGGAGCCG